rnacentral:rRNA from 1 species
AGAGUUUGAUCCUGGCUCAGAUUGAACGCUGGCGGCAGGCCUAACACAUGCAAGUCGAGCGGUAGCACAGAGAGCUUGCUCUCGGGUGACGAGCGGCGGACGGGUGAGUAAUGUCUGGGAAACUGCCUGAUGGAGGGGGAUAACUACUGGAAACGGUAGCUAAUACCGCAUAACGUCGCAAGACCAAAGUGGGGGACCUUCGGGCCUCAUGCCAUCAGAUGUGCCCAGAUGGGAUUAGCUGGUAGGUGGGGUAACGGCUCACCUAGGCGACGAUCCCUAGCUGGUCUGAGAGGAUGACCAGCCACACUGGAACUGAGACACGGUCCAGACUCCUACGGGAGGCAGCAGUGGGGAAUAUUGCACAAUGGGCGCAAGCCUGAUGCAGCCAUGCCGCGUGUGUGAAGAAGGCCUUCGGGUUGUAAAGCACUUUCAGCGGGGAGGAAGGCGGUGAGGUUAAUAACCUCAUCGAUUGACGUUACCCGCAGAAGAAGCACCGGCUAACUCCGUGCCAGCAGCCGCGGUAAUACGGAGGGUGCAAGCGUUAAUCGGAAUUACUGGGCGUAAAGCGCACGCAGGCGGUCUGUCAAGUCGGAUGUGAAAUCCCCGGGCUCAACCUGGGAACUGCGUUCGAAACUGGCAGGCUAGAGUCUUGUAGAGGGGGGUAGAAUUCCAGGUGUAGCGGUGAAAUGCGUAGAGAUCUGGAGGAAUACCGGUGGCGAAGGCGGCCCCCUGGACAAAGACUGACGCUCAGGUGCGAAAGCGUGGGGAGCAAACAGGAUUAGAUACCCUGGUAGUCCACGCUGUAAACGAUGUCGAUUUGGAGGUUGUGCCCUUGAGGCGUGGCUUCCGGAGCUAACGCGUUAAAUCGACCGCCUGGGGAGUACGGCCGCAAGGUUAAAACUCAAAUGAAUUGACGGGGGCCCGCACAAGCGGUGGAGCAUGUGGUUUAAUUCGAUGCAACGCGAAGAACCUUACCUGGUCUUGACAUCCACAGAACUUUCCAGAGAUGGAUUGGUGCCUUCGGGAACUGUGAGACAGGUGCUGCAUGGCUGUCGUCAGCUCGUGUUGUGAAAUGUUGGGUUAAGUCCCGCAACGAGCGCAACCCUUAUCCUUUGUUGCCAGCGGUUAGGCCGGGAACUCAAAGGAGACUGCCAGUGAUAAACUGGAGGAAGGUGGGGAUGACGUCAAGUCAUCAUGGCCCUUACGACCAGGGCUACACACGUGCUACAAUGGCAUAUACAAAGAGAAGCGACCUCGCGAGAGCAAGCGGACCUCAUAAAGUAUGUCGUAGUCCGGAUUGGAGUCUGCAACUCGACUCCAUGAAGUCGGAAUCGCUAGUAAUCGUAGAUCAGAAUGCUACGGUGAAUACGUUCCCGGGCCUUGUACACACCGCCCGUCACACCAUGGGAGUGGGUUGCAAAAGAAGUAGGUAGCUUAACCUUCGGGAGGGCGCUUACCACAUUGUGAUUCAUGACUGGGGUGAAGUCGUAACAAGGUAACC